rnacentral:rRNA from 1 species
UACGUAGGGUGCGAGCGUUAAUCGGAAUUACUGAGCGUAAAGCGUGCGCAGGCGGUCUGUUAAGACCGAUGUGAAAUCCCCGGGCUUAACCUGGGAACUGCAUUGGUGACUGGCAGGCUUUGAGUGUGGCAGAGGGAGGUAGAAUUCCACGUGUAGCAGUGAAAUGCGUAGAGAUGUGGAGGAAUACCGAUGGCGAAGGCAGCCUCCUGGGCCAACACUGACGCUCAUGCACGAAAGCGUGGGGAGCAAACAGG